AUUGAACGCUGGCGGCAGGCCUAACACAUGCAAGUCGAGCGAGCGGCGGACGGGUGAGUAAUGUCUGGGGAUCUGCCCGAUAGCGGGGGAUAACUACUGGCAACGGUGGCUAAUACCGCAUACUAUCGGCUGAGCCCAUAUGGGAUUAGCUAGUAGGUGGGGUAAAGGCUCACCUAGACGACGAUCCCUAGCAGGUCUGAGAGGAUGAUUAGCAACACUGUGAUUGAGACACGGCCCAGACGCCUACGGGAGGCAGCAGUGGGGAAUAUGGCACAAUGGGCGAAAGCGUGAUGCAGCCAUGCCGCGUGUAUGAAGAAGGCCUUAGGGUUGUAAAGGACUUUCAGCGGGGAGGCGUUACCCGCAGAAGAAGCACCGGCUAACUCCGUGCCAGCAGCCGCGGUAAUUC
rnacentral:rRNA from 1 species